CAAACGACUCUCGGCAACGGAUAUCUCGGCUCACGCAUCGAUGAAGAACGUAGCAAAAUGCGAUACUUGGUGUGAAUUGCAGAAUCCCGUGAACCAUCGAGUUUUUGAACGCAAGUUGCGCCCAAAGCCAUUUGGUUGAGGGCACGUCUGCCUGGGCGUCACGCA
rnacentral:rRNA from 4 species